rnacentral:rRNA from 2 species
GAACGCUGGCGGCAGGCUUAACACAUGCAAGUCGAACGAGAAGCACCCUUCGGGGUGUGGAAAGUGGCAGACGGGUGAGUAACGCGUGGGAAUAUACCUAGAGGUACGGAACAACGCCGGGAAACUGGUGCUAAUACCGUAUGUGCCCUUCGGGGGAAAGAUUUAUCGCCUUUAGAUUAGCCCGCGUUAGAUUAGCUUGUUGGUGAGGUAAAAGCUCACCAAGGCGACGAUCUAUAGCUGGUCUGAGAGGAUGAUCAGCCACACUGGGACUGAGACACGGCCCAGACUCCUACGGGAGGCAGCAGUGGGGAAUCUUGCACAAUGGGCGAAAGCCUGAUGCAGCCAUGCCGCGUGUGUGAUGAAGGCCCUAGGGUUGUAAAACACUUUCAGUGGGGAAGA